UACGGAAGGUGCGAGCGUUAAUCGGAAUUACUGGGCGUAAAGCGCACGUAGGUGGUUUUAUAAGUCGGAUGUGAAAGCCCCGGGCUUAACCUGGGAAUUGCAUCUGAUACUGUCUGACUAGAGUAUGCUAGAGGGAAGUGGAAUUCCCGGUGUAGUGGUGAAAUGCGUAGAGAUCGGGAGGAACACCCGUGGCGAAGGCGGCCACCUGGGCCGACCCUGACGCUGAGGCGCGAAGGCGUGGGGAGCGAACGGG
rnacentral:rRNA from 1 species